GUUGUUGUCGUUGUUGUCACUGUUGUUGUUGUUGACACUGUUGUUGUUGUUGUCACUGUUGUUGUUGUCACUGUUGUUGUUGUUGUUGGUGUUGUUGGUGUUGUUGUUGUUGUCACUGUUGUUGUUGUUGUCACGGUUGUUGUUGUUGUCACGGUUGUUGUUGUUGUUGUUGUUGACACUGUUGUUGUUGUCACAGUUGUUGUUGUUGUUGUUGUUGUUGUCACUGUUGUUGUUGUUGUUGUUGUUGUCGCUG